GACGAACGCUGGCGGCGUGCUUAACACAUGCAAGUCGAACGGAAAGGCCCUGCUUGCCGGGUACUCGAGUGGCGAACGGGUGAGUAACACGUGGGUGAUCUGCCCUGCGCUUCGGGAUAAGCCUGGGAAACUGGGUCUAAUACCGGAUAGGAGCCAUUUUUAGUGUGAUGGUUGGAAAGUUUUUUCGGUGUAGGAUGAGCUCGCGGCCUAUCAGCUUGUUGGUGGGGUAAUGGCCUACCAAGGCGGCGACGGGUAGCCGGCCUGAGAGGGUGGACGGCCACAUUGGGACUGAGAUACGGCCCAGACUCCUACGGGAGGCAGCAGUGGGGAAUAUUGCACAAUGGGCGCAAGCCUGAUGCAGCGACGCCGCGUGGAGGAUGACGGCCUUCGGGUUGUAAACUCCUUUCGCUAGGGACGAAGCUUUUUGUGACGGUACCUAGAUAAGAAGCACCGGCUAACUACGUG
rnacentral:rRNA from 1 species